GACGAACUGCCCAAACGUUGUUCGGAAUCACUGGGCUUAAAGGGCGCGUAGGCGGCAGAUCAAGUCAGGGGUGAAAUCCGGCAGCUCAACUGUCGAAGUGCCUUUGAUACUGAUUUGCUCGAGGGAUAUAGGGGUCUGUGGAACUUCUGGUGGAGCGGUGAAAUGCGUUGAUAUCAGAAGGAACACCUGUGGCGAAAGCGGCUCACUGGACCACAACUGACGCUGAUGCGCGAAAGCUAGGGGAGCAAACAGG
rnacentral:rRNA from 1 species